rnacentral:misc_RNA from 1 species
UUGUGGAGAAGGACGCCGAAGGUGGGGCUGAUGACUGGGGUGAAGUCGUAACAAGGUAGCCGUACCGGAAGGUGCGGCUGGAUCACCUCCUAACAGGGAGACAAUAUAUUGAUUGUGAUGUCUAAGUAAUUUUCCUAGGCCGCAAUCCUGUCACCUUAAGGUCGAUCGGUACCUCAGAUCUUUGAAUUAGUUUUAGAUUUAAUUCUUGAUUUCAGUUCCUAAACUUGUCUAGGUCACACCCAACAAAGGUUUCUCCUGGGCCAUUAGCUCAGGUGGUUAGAGCGCACCCCUGAUAAGGGUGAGGUCCCUGGUUCAAGUCCAGGAUGGCCCAUUCGUUGUUGGGGGUAUAGCUCAGUUGGUAGAGCGCCUGCUUUGCAAGCAGGAUGUCAGCGGUUCGAGUCCGCUUACCUCCACUGAAAACUAUCCUGAUAACUAAAUUUCUGGAGAAUAUUUGUAGAUGCGUCUUAGAGUUGUCUAUUUGAAAAGAACCUAGCUUCUUAUCAUCUUUUAUAUAGUUGAUAAUAUGCUGGGCUCUCAUGGAUUUGUUCCAUGUGAAUUCAGUAGAACCUUGAAAACUGCAUAGAUUAGAAAGAAUAAAGCAUCUCAUGGAUGCAUAAUUCUGUUGAUAAACAAUUUAGCUUCAAAACUAAAUAUUUAUCGAUAGAAUUCAUGUUUAAUUCUUGAGUAAUAGCCGAGCACAAUUAAUUUUGUGAUUGUAUUAAGGUCAAGCUACAA